GCAAACUUGGUCAUUUAGAGGAAGUAAAAGUCGUAACAAGGUUUCCGUAGGUGAACCUGCGGAAGGAUCAUUACCUAAGGCUACGGGUUGGGACCCAGUCCCCUCCCGGCUUGAACCUUUCAACCAACCGUGAACCAAGAAAACCUUUUGCUUCGGCAGCCGCCUCAGGGCUUAAGCCUGCCGCUAGCACCUUCCAAACCUGACAUGAGAAACCUGUCUGAUAACCAAAUUUUCGAAUGAAAAUCAAAACUUUCAACAACGGAUCUCUUGGUUCCCGCAUCGAUGAAGAACGCAGC
rnacentral:misc_RNA from 1 species